GUUAAGCUGCGAUAAGCUUUGGGUAGGCGCAAAUAGCCAGUGAUCCAAAGAUUUCCGAAUGGGGGAACCCACAUAGUAACAACUAUGUACUGCAUACUGAAUAAAUAGGUAUGCAGAGGUAGACCCGGGGAACUGAAACAUCUAAGUACCCGGAGGAAGAGAAAGAAACAUCGAUUUCCUAAGUAGCGGCGAGCGAAAGGGAAAGAGCCCAAACCUAGGUCUUUGACCUAGGGGUUGAGGAUAGAUCAUUGAAUACUGCAAUUCCUUAAUUGAAGAUAGCUGGAAAGCUGCUCCGCAGAAGGUAAUAGGCCUGUAAAUGAAAAGGAAAAACAGYCAGAUCUAAUCCAGAGUACCACGAGACACGUGAAACCUUGUGGGAAGCAGGGAGGACCACCUCCCAAGGCUAAAUACUACCUAGUGACCGAUAGUGAAGAAGUACCGUGAGGGAAAGGUGAAAAGAACCCCGGAAGGGGAGUGAAAUAGAACCUGAAACCGUGUGCCUACAACCGGUCGGAGCACUUUUUAUGUGUGAC
rnacentral:rRNA from 1 species